rnacentral:lncRNA from 1 species
GGUGGUGGGGUGGACGGGGCAUAAGGAACAGUGAUGCAUACACAGUGCUAGAGUACAGAAUGCAGUAAGUGAUCCAUGGGGGCAGAGAGCAAGGUACCGCAUGAUCAGAAGAGAGAACUAGUGCUACCGCCUUGCUUGUCUAGUACAUUAAAACUUACAAGUCAUGUUCACGCUUCUCUGCUCACUUAGUUUUUUAAACAGUCCUCUGUGUGUGUUUAUUUCCCUUUAUGCCUGAGAAAACCAGAGAGGUAAAGUGACGUGCCCAAGGUCAGAUACCACUAAGUGGUGAUACAGAGUACCAGACAUAGUAAUUCCAAAUUCCUACCCUCUCUGUCUUCCCCCAACCCGUGCCCCGUCAUCCUCUGGAACAUGAGACUGCCCCAGAGCAGCAGGAGGGGAUAGAUAGGAUGGCCUGGCAGUCGAGAAAGGGAGGCCACUUCAGGGAGGUAGCAAUGCAGUGGAAAGUGACCCUCACCUCCAGAUGGGGGCUGCUCAGACACUGCCAGGUAAGAACUUGACAGAAGGACAGCACCUGGGGACAAGCCCAGGAUAAGUGGACAACACUGGGAGUCGGGGCAGG